rnacentral:rRNA from 1 species
ACCCUACGGGAGGCAGCAGUGGGGAAUAUUGGGCAAUGGAGGAAACUCUGACCCAGCAAUGCCGCGUGAAUGAAGAAGGUCUUCGGAUUGUAAAGUUCUUUAGUCAGGGAAGAAGUCAAUGACGGUACCUGAAGAAUAAGCUCCGGCUAACUACGUGCCAGCAGCCGCGGUAAUACGUAGGUGGCGAGCGUUAUCCGGAAUGAUUGGGCGUAAAGGGUGCGUAGGCGGCCUGCUAAGUCUGGAGUGAAAGGUACCGGCUCAACCGGUACAGGCUCUGGAAACUGGCGGGCUAGAGAGCAGGAGAG